rnacentral:rRNA from 1 species
UUAAAUUUUAUUUAUUAAUUUUAUUGUUUUAAUUUUUAAAUUAUUAAAAAUAAUUAUAAUAAAAAAUGUUUUAGUAUUGUUUAAAGAAAAAAUAAUUUUAAUAAUAGUGAAUUAGUAUUGUAAAAGAAAAUUGAAAUAAUUUGAAAAAAUAUUAUUGUAAAAGAAAAUUUAAUUUAUUGUACCU